GGUAUAAAUGUGAGGAUGAUUCCUCUUGUCAGCUACUGAUCAUCGGCAGAGUUCUGGAAUCCACCGAGCUAUCAACCAGCAACUGCCAUCACUAUGAAGUUCGUUGUAGCAUUUGCUCUGCUGGCCAUUCUCGUUGCCAUGGCAACCGGAGCGGCAUUCCCUGGCCCCCGCCCCUUUCCCGCGAAUGGUGUCCAUAAGGAAAGCCUAGCUGGUUCCGAAACUGUGUACUACCCCUACGCCUACUACCCAGCUUACUAUCCCAUCGCAUACCUGGGAUGAAGGCACUAAAUCACUGUCAAGAAGUAACAUUAUGAAGACUUUCUGCUAGAUUAUGGACAACAUUCGUCUUUGUUCUCGUCUGGAACAGCCCAGCAUCAACUUGAUCUUCUGUGGCUGGCAUAAGCCAAACAAAAUACUGUGUUCAGUACAUAAUAAUGCAAACUUUUUAUGCAUUUAUUGACAAGUUUUAUUAUUUCAAAAUGUACGCAACUUGAAACAUUUAUUUUGCAAUAAAAAUAACAUAACACUAACUAA